AGAUGGGGACCAGUGCAGGUGACUGGUGUGAGAGAUGGGGAGCGGUGUGAGAGAUGGGGAGCGGUGCAGGUGGCUGGUGUGAGAGAUGGGGAGCGGUGCGGGAGAUGGGGACCAGUGCAGGAGAUGGAGACCAGUGUGAGAGAUGGGGACCAGUGUGGGUGAUGAGAACUGGUGCGGGCAAUGGGUGCAGGUGACGAGGACCAGUGCAGGCAAUGGGUGCGGGUGACCAAGACCGGUGUCGGAGAUGGGGACCAGUGGCAAGUGAUGGGUGCAGGAGAUGCAGACUGAUGUGGAAGAUGGGGACUGAUGUGGGUGAGGAGGACCGGUGCAGGGGAUGGGACCAGUACUGGUGAUAGGUGCGGGUAACAAGGACCAGUGCGGAGGUUGGGACUGGUGCGGGUGAUGGGUGCAGGAGCCAAGGACCGGUGUGGGAGAUGAGGACCAGUGCGAGAGAUGGGGACCAGUGCAGGUGACAGGGACCAGUGCGGGUGGUGGGGACUGGUGUGGGAGACAGGGACUGGUGUGGGUGAAGGGGACCGAUGCAAAUGAUGGGAACUGAUGCAGGCGACAGGGACCAGUGUGGGAGACGGGACUGGUGGGAGCGAAAGGGACUGACACAGGUAACGAGGACUGGUGCGGGUGACAGAGACAGGUGCGAGUGACGGGGACCAGUGUGGGAGGUGGGGCCUGGCGCGGGCGACUGGGAGCAGUGUGGGAGCUAGGGACCAGUGCAGGUGACAACUUUGUGCGCUGCCCUGGCAGAUGUGGACACUGACAGCCGUUUAUUGAAUUCUGCCCCUUCCGCUUACUCCUCAGUUCUGGAUUGUUUUAUUCUGCUAGAACCUGCUUAUAUUAAACAUAUAUAUGUCUUAAAUAUACAUAUUAAAUAUCUAUAGAAAACAGUAUUCCUUGCUCGUUAGGAUAGGAAUUGCUCUUACAAAUUGCCCCGACCCUGUAACAGCGGCAGCGGAGCAGGCCUGGCAUGUAUGCAAAGGUCUGUUGACAGAAGGAGCGCGAGGCUUCCUGCCUCCUUGUGGAGUGUUGUCUAUAAAGUAUUGUACUCUUUUUUUAUU
rnacentral:lncRNA from 1 species